rnacentral:sRNA from 13 species
UUCUCAGCUAAAAUUUAACAAAAGGGAUGAUGUGCGGUAGCAGGAAAUGUAACUGCAAAUAACUAUGGAAAAAAACAGUUUUCAUGGCAUUCUGCCAAAUUUGUCCACACGUGUCCCAAAAGUAAGAUGGUCUAUUUGAAAGUGGAUUGAAAGAGAUUUCUCAUGUGACAAAGAUAGACGGAACGAUUAUAAGACAAAAUAAGUGCUUUUGUGUCUGACUCGUUUUUUCGUCAGAUUAAUUCCGGAGAAAUAAAAAUGUUCAGAAUUAAAUUCAGAGGUCUUGGACGGACUGCUUAAGAAUAAUGAGAAAAUAAGAAAAUGGUUGACACGAAUCAUAAUUGUUCUCCAAUAAAUAAAAUAUGCAAUCCACUGACACAUAUGGAUCUCUUCUCAGAACAAUGGAACACAGAAAUGCGGUCAAGUUUGGAAAUAUGAGAAAUCUAUUUUGAAGUUCAUUCGUUGCUUUGCGCAUGGAAUCUGGGUUCUGGACUUUUUAGUUAAACGGCAACGCAGGAAGAAAAGCGCUGAUAUUGAAGGAAUAAAAUAUAAAAAUGGUAUCUGCGCGCUAUAUAAAUCAAGCUGCGAAGGAAUUUUUGUGAUUAAUGAAGAUUCGCUGAUGCAAAAAUUUUACAAAAUAAUACCCGAUUGAUGGCUUAAAAUCUAAAGGUCUUCAUAAUGUGCAGUACCCAAGAUGGUUUGGAUUAUAAUAUGUAUUUCCCAGGUUUUCAUAAUAUGCAGUACACAAGAUGGUGUGGAGUAUAUGUAUUUCCAAGAUGUCUGAAGAUUUUCAUGGAAAAAGGCUGUUUACCCCCUGCAACAUUACUAAGGUGUGUAUUGAAAAAUGAAUUCCUAAAAUUUACCUACCUUUUUUCUGAUGACAAACAACAAUAGACAAGCAUAUACCUGAAUUCACGUGUGUUGCUACCAUUUUUGACUGAACUAGACAAAUAUUUGUAGUUUUGUGGAACCAAAUUGCAUAAACCAAAAUUAAUCAAAACGUUUUCUUUUUAUGCUUGAACUUAAGCGGUCUUUUUGAAUGGUUAAAUCCUUAUGAAGGCAGUAAUAUUAAGGUAAUACCUGUCAUCUGGCCUUGUGAUUCAGCUGAACUUUUGUGGUAUCAUGCGAAUUGCCAAGAUCGACCAACGCCAUUUCACUGCUGUAGUCAUUUGAACAAAUAAAAACUCAAAGUAUACUGUUUAAUAUAA